ACGGGGUGCAGCAGGCGCGAAAACUUUACAAUGCUGGAAACAGCGAUAAGGGAACCUCGAGUGCCGAGAUACAAUCUCGGCUGUCUAGCUGCCUAAAAAGCAGUUGAUAGCAAGGGCCGGGCAAGACCGGUGCCAGCCGCCGCGGUAACACCGGCGGCUCGAGUGGUAACCGCUAUUAUUGGGUCUAAAGGGUCUGUAGCCGGCCUGGUUAGUCCCUUGGGAAAUCUGGCCGCUCAACAGUCAGGCUUCCAGGGGAUACUGCUAGGCUCGAGACCGGGAGAGGUGAGAGGUACUUCAGGGGUAGGGGUGAAAUC
rnacentral:rRNA from 1 species